GUGAAGAACGUAGCGAAAUGCGAUACGUAAUGUGAAUUGCAGAAUUCAGUGAAUCAUCGAAUCUUUGAACGCAUAUUGCGCUCUCUGGUAUUCCGGAGAGCAUGCUUGUUUGAGUAUCAGUAAACACCUCAACUUCCAUAUCUUUUUUGAAAUGGGAGUUGGACUUGAGUGAUCCCAACGCUUUUCCUCACCGAAAAGUGGCGGGUUACUUGAAAUGCAGGUGCAGCUGGACUUUUCUCUGAGCUAUAAGCAUAUCUAUUUAGUCUGCCUAAAAAACAGAUUAUUACCUUUGCUGCAGCUAACAUAAAGGAGAUUAGUUCUUGUGCUGACUGAUGCAGGAUUCACAAAGACAGGCUUCGGCCGACUUUGUAAACUCGAUCUCAAAUCAAGUAAGACUACCCGCUGAACUUAAGCAUAUCAAUAAGCGGAGGA
rnacentral:misc_RNA from 1 species